GACGAACGCUGGCGGCGUGCCUAAUACAUGCCAGUCGAACGCUGAAGGAGGAGCUUGCUUCUCUGGAUGAGUUGCGAACGGGUGAGUAACGCGUAGGUAACCUGCCUUGUAGCGGGGGAUAACUAUUGGAAACGAUAGCUAAUACCGCAUAAGAGUAGAUGUUGCAUGACAUUUGCUUAAAAGGUGCAAUUGCAUCACUACCAGAUGGACCUGCGUUGUAUUAGCUAGUUGGUGGGGUAACGGCUUACCAAGGCGACGAUACAUAGCCGACCUGAGAGGGUGAACGGCCACACUGGGACUGAGACACGGCCCAGACUCCUACGGGAGGCAGCAGUAGGGAAUCUUCGGAAAUGGACGGAAGUCUGACCGAGCAACGCCGCGUGAGUGAAGAAGGUUUUCGGAUCGUAAAGCUCUGUUGUAAGAGAAGAACGAGUGUGAGAGUGGAAAGUUCACACUGUGACGGUAUCUUACCAGAAAGGGACGGCUAACUACGUG
rnacentral:rRNA from 1 species